AGUGAACGCUGGCGGUAGGCCUAACACAUGCAAGUCGAACGGCAGCACAGGAGAGCUUGCUCUCUGGGUGGCGAGUGGCGGACGGGUGAGGAAUACAUCGGAAUCUACUUUUUCGUGGGGGAUAACGUAGGGAAACUUACGCUAAUACCGCAUACGACCUACGGGUGAAAGCAGGGGACCUUCGGGCCUUGCGCGAUUGAAUGAGCCGAUGUCGGAUUAGCUAGUUGGCGGGGCAAAGGCCCACCAAGGCGACGAUCCGUAGCUGGUCUGCGAGGAUGAUCAGCCACACUGGAGCUGAGACACGGUCCAGACUCCUACGGGAGGCAGCAGUGGGGAAUAUUGGACAAUGGGCGCAAGCCUGAUCCAGCCAUACCGCGUGGGUGAAGAAGGCCUUCGGGUUGUAAAGCCCUUUUGUUGGGAAAGAAAUCCAGCUGGCUAAUACCCGGUUGGGAUGACGGUACCCAAAGAAUAAGCACCGGCUAACUUCGUCCCAGCCGCCGCAGUAA
rnacentral:rRNA from 1 species